GGAUUGCCUGGGUUUCCAGGGGCUCGAGGUUUCAAAGGUCCAAAAGGGGACAUCUACAUAAUGGAUAUCAAAGGAAAGAAGGGAGCAAUGGGCCCCUGAGGGCCUCCUGGUCAACAGGGAGCCACAGGAAUGAGGGGACAAGAUGGUUUCUCAGGCGCACCUGGCGAUGAAGCCCCAGAGGGGGAUAGCUAUCCAGGGUUUCCUGGUGAGAGAGGCUAUCCAGGAUUCGAUGGGCCUAAAGGGUUCCCCGGGCCCGCUGGUUCCCCAGGUUUGGAUGUCAUAGGUGCUGUGUGACUCAGGGGGCCCCCGGGGGAUGCGGGACCCCCAGGAUUCAGGGGGCCUGUUGGCCC